rnacentral:rRNA from 1 species
UGGGGAAUCUUCCGCAAUGGACGAAAGUCUGAAGGAGCAACGCCGCGUGAGUGAAGACGGCCUUCGGGUUGUAAAGCUCUGUUAUUCGGGAAGAACGAUUCGUUUGUGAACAAUGAACGGAAGUGACGGUACCGAAAGAGAAAGCCACGGCUAACUACGUGCCAGCAGCCGCGGUAAUACGUAGGUGGCAAGCGUUGUCCGGAAUUAUUGGGCGUAAAGAGCGCGUAGGCGGUAUGGUAAGUCUGUCUUAGAAGUGCGGGGCUUAACCCCGUGAGGGGACAGAGACUGUCAUACUGGAGUCUCGGAGAGGAAAGCGGAAUUCCGAGUGUAGCGGUGAAAUGCGUAGAGAUUAGGAAGAACACCGGUGGCGAAGGCGGCUUUCUGGACGAGCACUGACGCUGAGGCGCGAAAGCGUGGGGAGCGAACAGG